rnacentral:rRNA from 1 species
UACGUAGGGGGCUAGCGUUGUCCGGAAUCAUUGGGCGUAAAGAGCGCGUAGGCGGCCCUGUAAGUCCGCUGUGAAAGUCAAGGGCUCAACCCUUGGAUGCCGGUGGAUACUGCAGGGCUAGAGUCCGGAAGAGGCGAGUGGAAUUCCUGGUGUAGCGGUGAAAUGCGUAGAUAUCUGGAGGAACACCGGUGGCGAAGGCGGCAUCCUGGACCAACACUGACGCUGAGUGAGCGAAAGCCAGGGGAGCAAACGGG